AUUGAACGCUGGCGGCAUGCCUUACACAUGCAAGUCGAACGGCAGCACGGGUGCUUGCACCUGGUGGCGAGUGGCGAACGGGUGAGUAAUACAUCGGAACGUACCUUAUCGUGGGGGAUAACGCAGCGAAAGUUGCGCUAAUACCGCAUACGCCCUGAGGGGGAAAGCGGGGGACCGUAAGGCCUCGCGCGAUUAGAGCGGCCGAUGUCUGAUUAGCUUGUUGGUGAGGUAAAAGCUCACCAAGGCGAUGAUCAGUAGCUGGUCUGAGCGGACGAUCAGCCCCACUGGGACUGAGACACGGCCCAGACUCCUACGGGAGGCAGCAGUGGGGAAUUUUGGACAGUGGGGGCAACCCUGAUCCAGCAAGGCCGCGUGAGUGAAGAAGGCCUUCGGGUUGUAAAGCUCUUUUGUCAGGGAAGAAACAGCAGCUCUAACACAGUCUGCGAAUGACGGUACCUGAAUAAUAAGCACCGGCUAACUACGUGCCAGCAGCCGCCGUAA
rnacentral:rRNA from 1 species